AGCUGCCAGGGGGGGACCCCCGGCCCCAGCCCCAGCCCGGCCGAGCCCAAAGCGCAGCCGGGAGCCCGCGGCCACCCGCAGCCAGGUGGGGACACAGAAACACGGCCUGCAGCCCAAAAUAACCCAAAAAAUCCUGCUUUUAUCCCAAAAAAUAUCCCUGCUUUUAUCCCAAAAUAACACAGGGUUUUAUCCCCAAAAAAUUCCCUGCUUUUAUCCCAAAAAAUUCCCUGCUUUUAUCCCAAAAAAUUCCUGCUUUUAUCCCAAAAAAUAUCCCUGCUUUCAUCCCAAAAAUAUCCCUGCUUUUAUCCCAAAAAAUCCUGCUUUUAUCCCAAAAUAUCCCUCUUUUAUCCCAAAAAAUCCCUGCUUUUAUCCCAAAAAAUCCCUGCUUUUAUCCCAAAAAAUCCCUGCUUUUAUCCCAAAAAUCCCGCUUUUAUCCCCAAAAAUCCCUGCUUUUAUCCCAAAAUAUCCCUCUUUCAUCCCAGAAAAACACAGGGUUUUAUCCCAAAAAAUCCCUCUUUCAUCCCAAAAAAUUCCUGCUUUUAUCCCAAAAAAAUCCCUGCUUUUAUCCCAAAAAAUUCCUGCUUUUAUCCCAAAAAAUCCCCUGCUUUUAUCCCAAAAAAUUCCCUGCUUUCAUCCCAAAAUAACACAGCUUGCAGCCCAAAAUAUCCCAAAAAAACCCGCUUUUAUCCCAAAAAAACCCGCUUUUAUCCCAAAAAAUCCCGCUUUUAUCCCAAAAAAUCCCUGCUUUCAUCCCAAAAAAUCCCUGCUUUUAUCCCAAAAUAUCCCUCUUUCAUCCCCAAAAAUUCCCUGCUUUUAUCCCAAAAAAUUCCUGCUUUUAUCCCAAAAAAUUCCUGCUUUUAUCCCAAAAAAACACAGGGUUUUAUCCCCAAAAAAUCUCUGCUUUUAUCCCCAAAAAUUCCUGCUUUUAUCCCAAAAAAAACCUCUUUUAUCCCCAAAAAAUCCCUGCUUUUAUAAAAUUCCUGCUUUUAUCCCAAAAAAAACCUCUUUUAUCCCCAAAAAAUCCCUGCUUUUAUCCCAAAAAAUCCCUGCUUUUAUCCCAAAAAAUUCCCUGCUUUUAUCCCCAAAAAAACACAGGGUUUUAUCCCCAAAAAAUCCCUGCUUUUAUCCCAAAAAAUUCCCUGCUUUUAUCCCAAAAAAUCCCUGCUUUUAUCCCAAAAAAUCCCUGCUUUUAUCCCAAAAAAACACAGGGUUUUAUCCCCAAAAAAUCUCUGCUUUUAUCCCCAAAAAUUCCCUGCUUUUAUCCCCAAAAAUUCCCUGCUUUUAUCCCAAAAAAACACAGGGUUUUAUCCCCAAAAAAUCUCUGCUUUUAUCCCAAAAAAUUCCCUGCUUUUAUCCCAAAAAAUCCCUGCUUUUAUCCCAAAAUAUCCCUCUUUCAUCCCAAAAAAUUCCCCGUUUUUAUCCCAAAAAAACACAGCUUGCAGCCCAAAAAAUCCCUGCUUUUAUCCCAAAAAAUUCCUGCUUUUAUCCCAAAAAUAUCCCUGCUUUUAUCCCAAAAAAUCCCUGCUUUUAUCCCAAAAAAUUCCUGCUUUUAUCCCAAAAAAUCCCGCUUUUAUCCCAAAAAAUUCCCUGCUUUUAUCCCCAAAAAUAUCCCUGCUUUUAUCCCAAAAAAACACAGCUUGCAUCCCAAAAAUUCCUGGGAUUCCAUCCUGCUUUUAUCCCAAAAAAACACAGCUUGCAGCCCAAAAAACCACAGGCUUUUAUCCCAAAAAAUCCCAGGCUUUUAUCCCAAAAAAUCCCUCUUUCAUACCAAAAAAACACAGUUUGCAUCCCAAAAAAUCCUGGGAUUCCAUUCCCAGUUCCCAUUCCCAGUUCCCAGUUCCCAUUCCCAGUUCCCAUUCCCAGUUCCCAUUCCCAGUUCAUUUCCCAGUUCAUUCCCAGUUUCCAUUCCCAGUUCCCAGGCCGGACGUUCUCCCGCGCUCUCUCCGGGCUCUGGCUCUGCCCAUUCCCAGUUCAUUCCCAGUUCAUUCCCAGUUCAUUCCCAGUUCCCAGGCCGGACGUUCUCCCGCGCUCUCUCCGGGCUCUGGCUCUGCCCAUUCCCAGUUCAUUCCCAGUUCAUUCCCAGUUCAUUCCCAGUUUCCCAGUUCAUUCCCAGUUUCCAUUCCCAGUUCCCAGGCCGGACGUUCUCCCGCGCUCUCUCCGGGCUCUGGCUCUGCCCAUUCCCAGUUCAUUCCCAGUUUCCCAGUUCAUUCCCAGUUCAUUCCCAGUUCCCAGGCCGGACGUUCUCCCGCGCUCUCUCCGGGCUCUGGCUCUGCCCAUUCCCAGUUUCCCAUUCCCAUUCCCAGUUCAUUCCCAGUUCCCAUUCCCAGUUUCCCAGUUCAUUCCCAGUUUCCCAGUUCAUUCCCAAUUUAUUCCCAGUUCCCAGGCCGGACGUUCUCCCGCGCUCUCUCCGGGCUCUGGCUCUGCCCAUUCCCAGUUCAUUCCCAGUUCAUUCCCAGUUCAUUCCCAGUUCCCAGGCCGGACGUUCUCCCGCGCUCUCUCCGGGCUCUGGCUCUGCCCAUUCCCAGUUCAUUCCCAGUUUCCCAGUUCAUUCCCAGUUCAUUCCCAGUUCCCAGGCCGGACGUUCUCC
ensembl:lncRNA